GACGAACGCUGGCGGCGUGCUUAAUACAUGCAAGUCGAACGGAAAGGCCCUGCUCUUGUGGGUUGCUCGUGUGGCGAACGGGUGAGUAACACGCGAGUAACCUGCCCUUGACUUUGGGAUAACUCUUGGAAACUGGGGCUAAUAUCGGAUAUGAUCUCCUGCUGCAUGGUGGGGGUUGGAAAGUUUCGGCGGUUGGGGAUGGACUCGCGGCUUAUCAGCUUGUUGGUGGGGUAGUGGCGUACCAAGGGUUUGACGGAUAGCCGGCCUGAGAGGGUGACCGGGGACCUUGGGACUACGAGACGGAGCAGAAUCCUACGGGCGGCAGCAGGGGAGAACAUUGCGGAAUGAGGGGAAGCCUGAUACAGCAACGCCGGGAGCGGGAUGAUGGCCUUUGAGUUAUAAACCGCUUUGGACGGAGACGAAGAGUGAGUGACGGUAAUGGGUAAGAAAGCAACGGCUAACUACGUG
rnacentral:rRNA from 1 species